GACGUAGGGCGCGAGCGUUGUCCGGAUUUAUUGGGCGUAAAGAGCGUGUAGGCGGCUUUACAGGUCCGUUGUGAAAACUCGAGGCUCAACCUCGAGACGCCGGUGGAAACCGUAAAGCUAGAGUCCGGAAGAGGAGAGUGGAAUUCCUGGUGUAGCGGUGUAAUGCGCAGAUAUCAGGAGGAACACCCGUGGCGAAAGCGGCUCUCUGGGACGGUACUGACGCUGAGACGCGAAAGCGUGGGGAGCAAACAGG
rnacentral:rRNA from 1 species